CCGGCUAAAAGUCGGAGGAAGGUGGGGGAUGACGUCAAAUCAUCCAUGCCCCUUAUGACCUGGGCUACACACGUGCUACAAUGGGCGGUACAAAGGGUCGCGAACCCGCAGGGGGAGCCAAUCCCAAAAAAGCCGCUCUCAGUUCGGAUUGCAGGCUGCAACUCGCCUGCAUGAAGCCGGAAUCGCUAGUAAUCGCGGAUCAGCAUGCCGCGGUGAAUACGUUCCCGGGCCUU
rnacentral:rRNA from 1 species